AUACAGUAAAGCUCAUGUUGUUGCUUAUUUAUUCAUGUACAUUUCACAAAAUGUUCAAAUCUAGCAGAAUAUAUCGACUACAAGGUCACACUCUUCUAGAGGUCUCAAAACCGCAGGUGUUGUUUCACAUACUAUCAGUCUGCAGUCGCCUGUCGCCACAUCCACAAACUAUAGUUCCUGACAUUUUCACUCAGUAUAAGAUAUACAACAAAGUUUUUCGUCUAUUGUUGCCAGAAAUGUAAUCAUUCAAGAUAACACACUUUUCUUGGAACGGGAAGUGUUUUAUUUCACUUAAUUCUUGCUCACUCUCUAAUGAUGCGGUUAUAUUACGCAGUCUAUCUGUCUAGAGAAGGUUAAGCUUUCCCCAUAGCUGUAAGCCAGCGGAUGAAACAUACGCGUAGAUGAGUUUAAAGAUAUUGAUUUGCAUAUUUUCUUUUGAGUUUUAACUUUGGGUUGUAUUGUACCCGUGAAUAUUUGUAUGGGUGAAAAUCUAAUGGAUGUAAAGAGCGUGAAGAAUGGCUGUUUGGGCGGAAAUAAUCUGGAAUCUGCAAUCGUUGUUCUUCCGCAGUCUAAACGAAAGUAAAAUUCGGGAGCCCGUUCUGUCAGCACGUCAAAACAAUGAGAAAGCAGUAUUAGGCUGUGUACUUUUUAAUGUAGAUUUUUACAGAGGCCAAAGUUUGGCACGAAAGAUCGGAUAUCUACGUCACGUUAUUUCUUUAAGACAAUUUACGGGAAACAGACUAAUUGCCGGGUAGCCUACUCCAGGCUGUUAGAAAAAUGGCACUUCGGCUAUCAGCGGUGGAAGCAUGUAUUUUAAUAUCAGUGUUCUCUUCUGUAGCUGGUGAACCUCUCUUGAAGAAAGUCGUACUUGGAAGGCCAGCCUCUCUUCAUUGUGAUGGAAAAGGCAGCUUACACGAUGAGCUGGAGAUCAUGUGGAAGACCCAGUAUCAGUUGGUGGCUAAUUUCUCUAAAGGACAUCUUAACUAUGGCCUUGGGUUUGAGAAUAGAGUACGUUUUGAAAUUGUGGAUAGUGAGUUUUGGUUCACUCUUCACAUCAAUCCCACUGUUUUCAGUGACACUGAUACAUACAGUUGUUUCCAUGGAACAGACUUGAUAAGGACAUGGAAUUUGGAAGUCACUGUGUUACCCCCUAAAGAAGUAGACGUCAUUGAAAGAGGCACAGUUACUUUGCCAUGCUAUGGCCUCAACAACAGACAACUGGCUUCUGACAAAUUCAAUGUCCAGUGGAAGAAAGAUGGUAAGGUGGUGCUGAACCUAACCGAAGGAACCACACAUCAUGACCAAGAAAUUGGUUACAGAGCAAACAUCUUUCUGGAUGAGAUUCGCAAAGGAGACUUCUCUAUGGUGAUAAAAAACAUUGAAAUGACUGAUGAAGGAAACUAUGAAUGUUUCACUGAAAAGAAUCAAGGAAAGAUUUUGAACUCUGUUAAAGUCCACGUAAUUAAAGGCCUAUCCCAUGGAUAUCGUCAACGUGUGUUGCAUUACACAGGAGAUUCUUUUAUCUUUUUUGUUUCUACAGACGACGUUGAAAUCCUUCUCCUCACCGGAAAAAUAGGUGAUAAAAGAAAGGUUUGCAAAAUCAGGGGGACUGGUGCAAAGUGUGUCGAGAAUGUACGAGAACGUACUGCCGUGCACCAGGGGUAUUUAACUCUGAAAGAUUUGACUAAGAGUGAUGAAGGUACAUAUAGAGUGGAGGACCUCAUGGAGUCUACCGUGACAGAAAUUGUUCUUGAAGUGAGACGGCCUCUACCAAUAGGUAUGUUUGUGAUUGUGACUUGGUGUACUAUGGUGGUACUUCUGAUUGGGUUCAUAAGAAGAAGAAGAAGAACGCAAAAUAUAGAUUCGUGUUUCUUUGGUAAAUUUAAUUCUUAAUUUAAACUUUCCUGUGGUGAGUGAAUACCAGAACUACAUACAGUAGUAAUUGUAAUUGAAAGUGGAACAUUUUUGUACAAUUGUUUUCCAUUUUGAUCUUGCCUGUUAUAUGCCUUUACUUUAAUGUCUACCCAAGUAGUGCCCCCUGCAGGGCCAGUUACAAAAGGCCAUGUAUCCACUGUGGAGGGGCACAGGUGUAAGUCACAAUUCAAAUUGACCCUUUUUAUGGACAUUGUAUGUAGUCUUCUCUUCUUGUAACAUUGUUUAGUUUUUUUUGUCAUGUUAUAUCAGAAAUACAUUAAAAUGUAUUUGUCUAUAAUCCUACUCAGACAUUUUUUCAUUUUGACCCAAGUCACUGGUGUCAGACUAACAGAUAAAUUGUUCUUGGUUCCAAGGGGGAUAUGCCUUUUCUUUAAUGUCUCCCAUUUUGAUUUUGCCUGUUAUAUGCCGUUACUUUCAUGUCUACCCAAGUGGUGCCCCCUGCAGGGCCUGUCACUGCCAUAGUGGUAGAUUGCUAAAUAUCCUGUUAAAAGGACAUGUCUCCACUGUGGAGGGGCACAGGUGUAAGACACAAUUCAAAUUGACCCUUUUUAUGGAUAUUGUAUUGUUAUGUUGUAUCAGAAAUACAAUGUAUUUUUCUAUAAUUCUUCUCAGAUAUUUUUUAAUUAUAUCCCAAGUCACUGGAGUCAGACUAACAGAUUAAAAAAAGGAAACCCAUUACAAAGAACAUCACAUAUGAAGCUACUUUUCAAGUCAAGCAUUGAGUCACAGAUUUUCAUCAAUGUCUGCAUUGGCUGGGCUUUUGGAAAUUGUUUGGCUAAGUUACAGAUCAACAUGCCACAUUCCAAUGUAUGCCUGCAUGAUCAUGGACCAGGAAAAACUGCAUUCAUGAACUCUAAGCUCAUGGUUGUGUAAGGACAGAGAUGAAAUCAGACUAAUGAAACCCAGUCAUGAGCUAAACAAUACAGCACUUGGUAUUAUACUAUACUAUAUGUGCCUG
rnacentral:lncRNA from 1 species